rnacentral:rRNA from 1 species
UUUGAUGGCGACCGGCGCACGGGUGAGUAACACGUAUCCAACCUGCCGAUGACUCGGGGAUAGCCUUUCGAAAGAAAGAUUAAUACCCGAUGGCAUAGUUCUUCCGCAUGGUGGAACUAUUAAAGAAUUUCGGUCAUCGAUGGGGAUGCGUUCCAUUAGGUUGUUGGCGGGGUAACGGCCCACCAAGCCUUCGAUGGAUAGGGGUUCUGAGAGGAAGGCCCCCCACAUUGGAACUGAGACACGGUCCAAACUCCUACGGGAGGCAGCAUG